AGUGAACGCUGGCGGUAGGCCUAACACAUGCAAGUCGAACGGCAGCACAGUAAGUGCUUGCUCUUACGGGUUGCCAGUCGCGGACGGGUGAGGAAUACAUCGGGAUCUACUUUUUCGUGGGGGAUAACGUAAGGAAACUUACGCUAAUACCGCAUACGACCUACGGUUGAAAGCAGUGGAUCUUCUGACCUUGCGCGGUUGAAUGCGCCGCUGUCGGGUUAGCUGGUUGGGGGGGUAAAGGCCCACUAAGGCGACGAUCCGUAGCUGGUCUGGGAGGAUGGUAGCCGACCUGGGAGGUGAGACACGGUCAAUACUCCUGAGGGAGGGACCAGUGGGGUACAUUGGACAAUGGGCGGGAGCAUGGUCCAGCCAUACCGAGUCGGAGAAAGAGGCCUUCGGUUUGUAAAGCCCUUUUGUUGGGAGAGAAAAGCAGUAGGUUAAUACCACGCUGGUCUGACGGUACCCAAAGAAUAAGCACCGGCUAACUUCGUG
rnacentral:rRNA from 1 species